UACGUAGGGUCCGAGCGUUGUCCGGAAUUAUUGGGCGUAAAGAGCUCGUAGGCGGCAUGUCGCGUCUGCUGUGAAAGACCGGGGCUUAACUCCGGUUCUGCAGUGGAUACGGGCAUGCUAGAGGUAGGUAGGGGAAACUGGAAUUCCUGGUGUAGCGGUGAAAUGCGCAGAUAUCAGGAGGAACACCGGUGGCGAAGGCGGGUUUCUGGGCCUUACCUGACGCUGAGGAGCGAAAGCAUGGGGAGCGAACAGG
rnacentral:rRNA from 3 species